UCUUCCCGCUGAGGAAAGUCCGGGCUUCACAGGGCAGGAUGCCGGAUAACGUCCGGUGGAGGUGACUCCCAGGAAAGUGCAGCAGAAAUGAAACCGCCGGUCCUCGGACCGGUAAGGGUGAAAUGGCGGUGUAAGAGACCACCGCCCGUCUGGUAACAGGCGGGGUCCGUGUAAACCCCAUCCGAAGCAAGACCAAAUUUGGAGCCAUACGGCGGCCCGUCGUGCUCCAUGGUAGGUUGCGUGAGGCGGCUGGCAACAGUCGUCCAAGAUAGAUGAUCAUCCAACGACAGAACCCGGCUUAUCGUACUGCUGA
rnacentral:RNase_P_RNA from 1 species